AGAAUCAGUCUGAGGCUGAAGGUCUGUGGGCUGCCUGGAGAGCUGCUUGUCCACACUGGAAGGUGGCUGAGAAGCUGGGCUUUGGUGGUAGCCUAGCAACGGAUAGACACAAAGAAGUCAGGCUUCCAAGAUGACAGAGAACAGGAGGUUGCGAUGACUACUGUUGAGACCAUUGUCAAGGGAAAGUCCUUUUCUUUUGAAGACCACUUGGAUGCUGACAUUUGCUGGAAGUGCCUAGAUUACUGCGAAGGCUUGGCUGGGUUUAUGGUUGACAAAACAUCUUUUGGUGACAUCAGAAGGGACCUACUGGUGUCCGCGUGGGCAGAAGAGAGUAGUACUACUGCUUUGAGAUAGCCAGUUGAAAGCCAGCACCUGCUUCGGUCCACAGGAAGGCAAACUAGCUCCCAUCACACAGGCUAAUGCUUUGUUCUUAGUUGAAAUCUAUACCAAGACUGCUGAGCAUCCUGGAUUCUCCAACUGGGCUGCCACAGGCAGAUUCUGGCUCAGCAUCUCAAUAUGGCAGAGAUCUUCUUCACUGCACAUGUACCCACUGGGAGGACUCAAACCUGGUAUUUCAGAACUCAGGAGAAAAAUUCACACUUUGCAUUUCUCACUGUCACAUGGAGGAGACUGUGACAAGGCCAGCUCUAGUGGCACAGGAUCAUAUGUACAAAUGGAUAUUCUUGAUAAACUUAUAGAAGUGAUGGCACAGACCCAAAGUUCCAAGCACUCCUCACUCUACCCUCAGAAGAUGCAAAGAUGAGUCCAUGCUCCAACUGAUCGCAUCUGGAUUCUAGAGUGUUCUUGAGUGUGUGAAGCUUCAAAGGAAGGAUGUUAAUGUGCUUCGAGGCAGAGGUCAGGAUGUACCUGAAGAAAGGCCUCAUACCAAAAGGUGGAUGUGAUAAGAGACCCAUUAACCAGUAGCAGAGGUCACGUGGCUUGUGUAAAGAGGAGACAUCUGGACCACGCAUGCCCAUUUUAUCACUGGACACCUUUGCAGAGAUUAUGGGGAUGAUCCAGUAACACUGCUUUUGGGUGAGUAGCCGAUGUCUUCACUGGGAUCAGGCAGUCUCCUCACAAAACACUCCAAGAGCUGACAGUAUCUCAUUAGUGGGUACAGUGUCAUUGCAGUGGAGUGUCCCAUUUGUGGACAGUGGAAGUCAAAGUGAUUUAUAGAGAGCAGUUGUCAAGUCAUGGCUGAGUGAGGAACCUGCAUAGGAAAACCCCUUGAGAAGCCUCUCCACAAAGCCAGCCGGUGGGUGACAGUGGCUGGCUCCUUGAUUAGAGGCCAUACAGAGUUGUUUCUGAAUCUAGACUUUGGGUCAUUGGGGGCAGGAGGUAGUUCCUUAUUCAUCGUUCUGUUUUGUUCGAGUUGAGAAACGUGUGUAAGUACACUUUAGACUCAACGAGGAACGUGGGCUUCUUUCACUUCCAGUGCCUGUAGAACCUUCGUCAGCAGCACGCUUGUGGGGAACAGGAAGAGUAGGGCUUUCUUUCUUUCAUACUUUAGCCAAUAAUGUUAGAUUUCUAGUUAUUUUAAAGAACGUCUUUUGUAUGCUUGUGAUAGAAUCAAUAAAGUUUUAAAAUUUAAAUUU
rnacentral:lncRNA from 1 species